UACGGAGGGGGCUAGCGUUGUUCGGAAUUACUGGGCGUAAAGCGCACGUAGGUGGUGAGGUAAGUCGGAUGUGAAAGCUCGGAGCUCAACUCCGAAAUGGCAUUGGAAACUACCUUGCUCGAGGGUUGGAGGGGGGACUGGAAUGCUUGGUGUAGCAGUGAAAUGCGUAGAUAUCAAGCGGAACACCAGUGGCGAAGGCGAGUCCCUGGACAACUCCUGACACUGAGGCACGAAAGCUAGGGGAGCAAACAGG
rnacentral:rRNA from 1 species